rnacentral:rRNA from 1 species
CAAGUCGAACGCGAAAGUUCCCUUCGGGGAGCGAGUAGAGUGGCGCACGGGUGAGUAACACGUGGGUAAUCUACCUUUGGAUGGGGAAUAACAACCGGAAACGGUUGCUAAUACCGCAUAAUGCAGCGGCACCUAAUGGUGACAGUUGUUAAAGCGGGGGAUCGCAAGACCUCGCGUCUAAAGAGGAGCCCGCGGCGGAUUAGCUAGUUGGUAAGGUAACGGCUUACCAAGGCGAUGAUCCGUAGCCGGCCUGAAAGGGCGGUCGGCCACACUGACACUGACAUACGGGUCAGACUCCUACGGGAGGCAGCAGUCGGGAAUUUUGGGCAAUGGGCGAAAGCCUGACCCAGCAACGCCGCGUGAAGGAUGAAAUCCUUCGGGAUGUAAACUUCGCAAGAACAGGAAGAAUAAGCCGGUGUAAAUACCGCCGGCGAUGACGGUACUGUUUGUAAGCUCCGGCUAACUCCGUGCCAGCAGCCGCGGUAAUACGGGGGGAGCAAGCGUUGUUCGGAUUUACUGGGCGUAAAGGGCGCGUAGGCGGCCUCUGCAAGUCGACUGUGAAAUCUCCGGGCUUAACCCGGAAAGGUCAGCCGAUACUGCAGGGCUAGAGUGCAGAAGGGGCAACUGGAAUUCUCGGUGUAGCGGUGAAAUGCGUAGAUAUCGAGAGGAACACCUGCGGCGAAGGCGGGUUGCUGGGCUGACACUGACGCUGACAGCGCGAAAGCUAGGGGAGCGAACGGGAUUAGAUACCCCGGUAGUCCUAGCCUUAAACGAUGAAUGCUUGGUGUCUGGGGUUUUAUAGUCCCCGGGUGCCGUCGCUAACGCUUUAAGCAUUCCGCCUGGGGAGUACGGUCGCAAGACUGAAACUCAAAGGAAUUGACGGG